GUUUGCUCAAACUCAUGUCCAUUGAGUCGAUGACUCCAUCCAACCAUCUCAUCCUCUGUCGCCGCCUCCUUCUACCUUCAAUCUUUCUUAGCAUCAGGGUCUUUUCCAGAUUGACUGGUUUGAUCUCUUUGGUGUCCAAGGAACUCUCAAGAGUUUUCUCCAGCACCACAAUCUGAAAGCAUCAAUUCUUUGGCACUCAGCCUUCUUCAUGGUCCAACUCUCACACCUGAACGUGACUAUUGGAAAAACCAUAGCUUUGACAACAGACUGUUGUUGUAUGAAUAGAAUGCUGCUGCUGCUGCUGCUAAGUCAAAUCAGUCAUGUUCGACUCUGUGCGACCCCAUAGAUGGCAGCCCACCGGGCUCCCCCGUCCCUGGGAUUCUCCAGGCAAGAACACUG
ensembl:lncRNA